UCCUGUCCCAGUUCAGUCCAGUCACGCUCCUGUCCCAGUUCAGUCCAGUCACGCUCCUGUCCCAGUUCAGUCCAGUCACGCUCCUGUCCCAGUCCAGUCCAGUCACGCUCCUGUUCCAGUCCAGUCCAGUCACGCGCAGGUCUUGUCCCAGUCAGAGGACACCACCUGUCGAACGGGUGCUAUGCACACCCGAUCAGGCCCGACGUCUGCUCCGUCGAGCUUGGCGGUUGCAAGCAGCCAAGCCGGCUCCGGAGUAGACGCCGUCCCAGUCGCUGCCGGCUCUAGUGAGGAGCCUGAGGGCAGCGCCGCCGGCUCUAGUGAGGAGCCUGAGGGCAGCGCCGCCGGCUCUAGUGAGGAGCCUGAGGGCAGCGCCGCCGGCUCUAGUGAGGAGCCUGAGGGCAGCGCCGCCGGCUCUAGUGAGGAGCCUGAGGGCAGCGCCGCCGGCUCUAGUGAGGAGCCUGAGGGCAGCGCCGCCGGCUCUAGUGGGGAGCCUGAGGGCAGCGCCGCCGGCUCUAGUGGGGAGCCUGAGGGCAGCGCCGCCGGCUCUAGUGGGGAGCCUGAGGGCAGCGCCGCCGGCUCUAGUGGGGAGCCUGAGAGCAGCGCCGCCGGCUCUAGUAAGGACGCCGCUCCUGUCCUUGUCGGCCAUGUUGAGGCCGUUCCUGUUCCUGUCGGCCAUGUUGAGGCCGUUCCUGUUCCUGUCGGCCAUGUUGAGGCCGUUCCUGUUCCUGUCGGCCAUGUAGAGGCCGUUCCUGUUCCUGUCGGCCAUGUAGAGGUCGUUCCUGUUCCUGUCGGCCAUGUAGAGGCCGUUCCUGUUCCUGUCGGCCAUGUAGAGGUCGUUCCAGUCCCUGUCGGCCAUGUAGAGGUCGUUCCAGUUCCUGUCCCAGUCCCUGUCGGCCAUGUUGCGGCCGUUCCAGUUCCUGUCCCUGUUCUUGUCGGCCAUGUUGCGGCCGUUCCAGUCCCUGUCCCUGUUCCUGUCGGCCAUGUUGCGGCCGUUCUAGUUCCUGUCCCUGUUCCUGUCGGCCAUGUUGCGGCCGUUCCAGUCCCUGUUCCUGUCGGCCAUGUUGCGGCCGUUCCAGUCCCUGUUUCUGUCGGCCAUGUUGCUGCCAUUCCUGUCAAUCUCGGAGUGGCAGUCCCGGCGGACCUCCAGGAGGAGGUCGCGCCAGCCGUAGUCCCGGCGGACCUCCAGGAGGGGGUCGCGCCAGCCGCAGUCCCGGCGGACCUCCAGGAGGGGGUCGCGCCAGCCGCAGUCCCGGCGGACCUCUAGGAGGGGGUCGAGCCAGCCGCAGUCCCGGCGAACCUCCAGGAGGGGGUCGCGCCAGCCGCAGUCCCGGCGGACCUCCAGGAGGGGGUCGCGCCCGCCGCAGUCUCGGCGGACCUCCAGGAGGGGGUCGCGCCCGCCGCAGUCCCGGCGGACCUCCAGGAGGGGGUCGCGCCCG
rnacentral:lncRNA from 1 species